AUUCAAAAAAAAAAACUCAAAGAUUCUAGAGGCAUCGUAACAACAAUAAUUUCACUCUAUAAAAUUAGACAACGGUCGGAUAUUUUUUGUUACCGUUGCCAAUGGUCGGAUAUUUGGUUAUAAAUUUCCUUUCUCGCAUAAACAGAGCAUCCUAAAACAUAUUUAACAUAAUUUUCAAAAACAAAUUGCAGAGAAUUUGUUUCUCCAAACAUUCAAACAUCUAUAAAUUCUAUUUCUCUCAUAAACAAAGUAAACCCACAAAACAAAUUUGGUGGUUCAUUUCUGAAGAUUGUUCGAUUCCGGGCUUUCAAGUUUGGCGAUGGAGGCUGCUGCCGUGUCCAAUAACUCACCGGCGAAACUGAUCAUUACUGUUCAAAGAAUAAUAUGCAAGAAACAACUAUUGUAGAGGCUGCAGAAUUUAUGCAAGAAACAAAUAUUAUAAGGGCUGCAGAAUAAUAUGCAUGUUUAUGAUUAGGGUUAGGUUUAGGGUUUAGGAUCUAAUUAGCAUUAGGGUUACAAUUAGUAUUAGAAUUGAGGAUUAUGGUUAGGGUUAGGAUUAAGGUUAUAAGGAUUAGGAUUAUAAUUAGGAUUUAUUAUUAGGAUUCAGAUUAAGAUUUAUAAUUAGAGUAAGUAUAUUUACAGUUAGAAUUCAAUAGGUAGGAUUAGGGCUUGUGAUUAGGUUGUAGGAUGAUUAGUUGAUAUGGGUUGUAGUUACUGAAUCCGUUUUUGUUGUUUGCAUCGCUUAUUUCUAAGUUAAGGGCUUUCAAGUUAAGCGAUGGAGGCCACCGCUGCGUCACGUCACUCACCGGCGGCGAAACUCAGUACUAGUGGCUGCCGGUAUCGGAGGAACAUCAUCUUCUUUUAAUUCAGUUUGACUCCGUCGAUCAAUUGUGAAGGUCAGUGGUUUCAAUUUUCCAUAUCUAGUUUUUUUAUAAUAUUAAUAGGUCUUCAAACCAGAUGUUUUGCAGUUUGUUUAA